rnacentral:rRNA from 1 species
AUACGGAGGAUCCGAGCGUUAUCUGGAUUUAUUGGGUUUAAAGGGAGCGUAGGUGGAUUGUUAAGUCAGUUGUGAAAGUUUGCGGCUCAACCGUAAAAUUGCAGUUGAAACUGGCAGUCUUGAGUACAGUAGAGGUGGGCGGAAUUCGUGGUGUAGCGGUGAAAUGCUUAGAUAUCACGAAGAACUCCGAUUGCGAAGGCAGCUCACUAGACUGUUACUGACACUGAUGCUCGAAAGUGUGGGUAUCAAACAGGAUUAGAUACCCUGGUAGUCCACACAGUAAACGAUGAAUACUCGCUGUUUGCGAUAUACAGUAAGCGGCCAAGCGAAAGCAUUAAGUAUUCCACCUGGGGAGUACGCCGGCAACGGUGAAACUCAAAUGAAUUGACGGGG